UGUCUUUCUCUCCCCACCAAGGAUGUGAGCUGAGCAUCGUCUUUGAGGCAAAAUGCUUCACCUGAUCAGAUCUAGAUUGCACCUUGGCUGCAGAAGGCAACUCUGGGCACAGUACCUGGCCAAGCCAGCGUUCAGGCUGCCGUCGCUGCCGUGCUGUGUAACGCACCAAAGGGCAGGAUAUUCCAGUGAUGUGCAGAUGGAAUCCACCUCCUUUGUCAGAAAUAUCUUCAAUGGGCAGCUUGUACCUGACAAUGUUUUCCCUUUCC